UACAGAGGGUGCUAGCGUUGUCCGGAUUUAUUGGGCGUAAAGAGCGUGUAGGCGGCCAUACAGGUCCGUUGUGAAAACUGGAGGCUUAACCUCCAGACGUCGAUGGAAACCGUAUGGCUAGAGUCCGGAAGAGGAGAGUGGAAUUCCUGGUGUAGCGGUGAAAUGCGCAGAUAUCAGGAAGAACACCCGUGGCGAAGGCGGCUCUCUGGGACGGUACUGACGCUGAGACGCGAAAGCGUGGGGAGCGAACAGG
rnacentral:rRNA from 1 species